ACGGACUUCGGUCUGGUGGCGAGUGGCGAACGGGUGAGUAAUGUAUCGGAACGUACCUUUCAGUGGGGGAUAACGUAGCGAAAGUUACGCUAAUACCGCAUAUUCUGUGAGCAGGAAAGCAGGGGAUCGAAAGACCUUGCGCUGAUUGAGCGGCCGAUAUCAGAUUAGCUAGUUGGUGGGGUAAAGGCCUACCAAGGCGACGAUCUGUAGCGGGUCUGAGAGGAUGAUCCGCCACACUGGAACUGAGACACGGUCCAGACUCCUACGGGAGGCAGCAGUGGGGAAUUUUGGACAAUGGGGGCAACCCUGAUCCAGCCAUGCCGCGUGAGUGAAGAAGGCCUUCGGGUUGUAAAGCUCUUUCGGCCGGGAAGAAAUCGCAUAGGCUAAUACCCUGUGUGGAUGACGGUACCGGAAUAAGAAGCACCGGCUAACUACGUGCCAGCAGCCGCGGUAAUACGUAGGGUGCGAGCGUUAAUCGGAAUUACUGGGCGUAAAGCGUGCGCAGGCGGUUUCGUAAGACAGAGGUGAAAUCCCCGGGCUCAACCUGGGAACUGCCUUUGUGACUGCGAGGCUAGAGUAC
rnacentral:rRNA from 1 species